rnacentral:ncRNA from 1 species
AAUUUUAAACAAUCUACUAGAUAACCAAGUGCAGAGAGGGUGAUACCUCGCUUGGAUUGUGUAUAUAAUUCCCGUUGCGCUUGUUGUGAGAUAUUGCAGGAAGAUAAGCAACUCUCUUCCGGGCGAUCGGAAGAGGUCAUGACGUGAAAGAAGAUUGAGGGUGUACAUAGUAUGGAGAUUGUGCGUAGUUAGAUCAUUAUCAGACGGUGGCGGUGACAAUAGACGCUCUCUGUGAGAGAAUAAUCUGGCUAGGUCUUAUGUAGCAGUAAGAGCCAAACCAGAAAUGCUAAAAUAAACCGUUUUGCACUUGAGGCCGAGCAAUCGGCCAAUAACACCAAAGAUAAGUACAAGUAGCCCAAAUGUGCAGAUGAACGAUACUGAUAUUGUUAUGCUAAAACAAAUAUUCUGAAUGUCGGGUGAAAGUUGGACGUAACCAGUCGUGCCUAGCCAUUGAACCGCUACGGAAGUUAUAGGGUCGCUCCUUAUGGCUCAGACCGUGGUAGGCUAUCGGUCAAUAAGUUGCGUACAAUCGAAGUAGAGCGAAGGCUCAUUUGAUAGAUUGUUUAAAG